rnacentral:lncRNA from 1 species
AACGAUACAGCUACAACCAUGAUAGAAAUAUCAAAAGUUCAUUUAUUAUCCUACAAUGGGCAAAGAUAAAAUACAGCGGCGGUAAGCAAUAAUUGUUUAGACAGCUACAUAAGCCCAUGUAUCACUCAUAGUCUCAUACAAAAUAGAGUCCUCAAAAUUCUUGAUAACUAAAGGGUUGCUACUUUCAGAGUCAACAUCAGCAAAUCCGUCAUCAUGCAGGGCUGCCAGAAGAGUGUCACGGAACUCCAAUACCCUCAAGAAUCCAUGGAGACUCACCUAC